GCUGGCGGCGUGCUUAACACAUGCAAGUCGAACGAUGAACCACUUCGGUGGGGAUUAGUGGCGAACGGGUGAGUAACACGUGGGCAAUCUGCCCUUCACUCUGGGACAAGCCCUGGAAACGGGGUCUAAUACCGGAUACCACUACCGCAGGCAUCUGUGGUGGUUGAAAGCUCCGGCGGUGAAGGAUGAGCCCGCGGCCUAUCAGCUUGUUGGUGAGGUAAUGGCUCACCAAGGCGACGACGGGUAGCCGGCCUGAGAGGGCGACCGGCCACACUGGGACUGAGACACGGCCCAGACUCCUACGGGAGGCAGCAGUGGGGAAUAUUGCACAAUGGGCGAAAGCCUGAUGCAGCGACGCCGCGUGAGGGAUGACGGCCUUCGGGUUGUAAACCUCUUUCAGCAGGGAAGAAGCGAAAGUGACGGUACCUGCAGAAGAAGCGCCGGCUAACUACGUGCCAGCAGCCGCGGUAAUACGUAGGGCGCAAGCGUUGUCCGGAAUUAUUGGGCGUAAAGAGCUCGUAGGCGGCUUGUCACGUCGGGUGUGAAAGCCCGGGGCUUAACCCCGGGUCUGCAUUCGAUACGGGCUAGCUAGAGUGUGGUAGGGGAGAUCGGAAUUCCUGGUGU
rnacentral:rRNA from 1 species